GCCCAAGUGGCGAAAUGGCAGACGCGCCAGGUUGAGGGCCUGGUGGGGGUUUACCCCAUGGAGGUUCGAGUCCUCUCUUGGGCA
rnacentral:tRNA from 1 species